rnacentral:ncRNA from 1 species
UCUAGAUAAAAGCAAACUUAUGGUGACAUAGGGACGCAAAACUACGGGUCUAGAAGAAUUUAUCUUAAUCUAGAAAGCCAAGUUGCCUAG